UUGACCUCAAAUCAGGUAGGACUACCCGCUGAACUUAAGCAUAUCAAUAAGCGGAGGAAAAGAAACUAACAAGGAUUCCCCUAGUAACUGCGAGUGAAGCGGGAAAAGCUCAAAUUUAAAAUCUGGCGGUCUUGCGGCCGUCCGAGUUGUAAUCUGGAGAAGCGUCUAUCCGCGUCGGACCGUGUACAAGUCUUCUGGAAGGGAGCGUCAUAGAGGGUGAGAAUCCCGUCUUUGACACGGACUACCGAUGCUUUUGUGAUGCGCUCUCGAAGAGUCGAGUUGUUUGGGAAUGCAGCUCAAAAUGGGUGGUAAAUUCCAUCUAAAGCUAAAUAUUGGCGAGAGACCGAUAGCGAACAAGUACCGUGAGGGAAAGAUGAAAAGCACUUUGGAAAGAGAGUUAAACAGUACGUGAAAUUGUUGAAAGGGAAACGUUUGAAGUCAGUCGCGUCGGCCGAGACUCAGCCUUGCUUUCCGCUCGGUGCACUUCUCGGUUGACGGGUCAGCAUCAAUUUUGACCGCCGGAUAAAGGUCGGGGGAACGUGGCAUCUCUCGGGAUGUGUUAUAGCCCUCGAUUCGCAUACGGCGAUUGGGAUUGAGGAACUCAGCGCGCCUUUAUGGUCGGGGUAUCAACCCACGUAACGCGCUCAGGAUGCUGGCAUAAUGGCUUUAAGCGACCCGUCUUGAAACACGGACC
rnacentral:rRNA from 1 species